CCAAAGUGGGGCAGGAUAGGGAAUUUCAAAUGGCAGACGUGAAUCCGAUGUCGUCCUGCGUUAGGGUUACUUGAGAAAAAUGUCCUUUCAUCUAAACCGUACCUACUCCAUUCCGAGGUCCGGGCAAAUGGGCAAUUGGGGAGGAUUCACGAGUCACGACAGGUUCGUGUUAGAACCGGAUAUUUAUAUUUUACCAUCAGUGAUUCAGUGCAGACUGCACUGUUUCACAUUUUCACUUGUUCUGAAAUCUGAAUGGAAGAAAUCCAAAACCAAAACCAAAACCAAAUUUCAAAACUCUUAAUAGAUUCUAUGGGCGGGGGUGGUGGGUCCGGAAGGAUGGAAAUCUUCGUAUGAUCUCACAUCUCACUGUUGAAAGUAAUUAUUGAUCUGCAGAAAAAAAGGAAGAUGUCUAAGAUACUUUUUGUUACAAAAAAACAUAUAUAAUAGUUGCACCUUUAACAUAUAUAGAGUUGAACGAAGUUGAAGUUUUUUUAGAACUACCGAUUGUUUUGUUAGAUGAUAAAAGAUUACUUUCUAUUUUUCGAUCUCAAGUUAUUUACAUUUGUCUUUAUUCUCUUUUAACUUUUUUUACAUCACCCAACUUGAAAGUGAUAGAUUCCCAAAGAUUGAUCCAGUUUAGGUAUGUGUCUAGGAAUGGUUGGGUUAGGGGCUUAGAGCAUGGAUAUGAAUAUAUGAUGACUUUACAAUCUAUUGUCAAGCUUCUUCCUUAGGAGUUUCUAAAAUCAGGAAAUGAAUUUAUCUUGAAGAAUUGAAAAGGUAAGAAUUAAGAAAUGUGAAAGGGAUAUGGCCCUAAUGUGAUUAAAACAUAGCAUGUGAACGAUUGACAACUAAGACAAUUAACAAAUAGAAUCGAAUAACGACACAUUUGCUUUUCUUGAUUACAUAUACAAUCUCACAUUAUUAGAUCAGGUUUGGGAUAAAUGUUUUUAUAGCAGUAUAUCAUUUAUUUUAAUGAAUGACCUCUAAGCUAUAACAAUUAACACCUGAAUACUGACUGAUUUUUUAUUCUUUAGAAGAUAAGUGUUUUGGAUAUUCUUCUUCUCCAAAAGAAACAGUUGCAUAACAAAAUGAAGUGACGUAUUUUCUUUUAAACCAGCACUC
rnacentral:lncRNA from 1 species